CUUUAUCUAUCUUCUCUGUCUCUCUAUUUUCUAGUCAUGAAAUUGUGUCAAACUGUGGCCUACAGAGGGUAAACCACAACAUAAAUAUGACUGAAUACGAAGAAGUAGAGGAAGUUGUGAGCGAUUUGAGAAAUUUAGCUGCAGUCUGAGAAAGAAGCUAAAUCAAGUGAUGAAGAAAAAGGAGUUGCAACAGAACAGCAGUCAGAAGAUACAAAUAAACCUGAAGCUGUGAAACCCAGAGGAGGAGAUGACCAAGCUUUUGUAGUCCAAAAGCUGAACACGGUGAUAGAGAACCAGAACCAGGAACUGCGCCUGCUGCAGCUGCUUGCUAACUGCUUAUGAUGAAGCAGGAAGAU